GGUGAGUUUGCCUAGGAAUCUGCCUGGUAGUGGGGGAUAACGUUCGGAAACGAACGCUAAUACCGCAUACGUCCUACGGGAGAAAGCAGGGGACCUUCGGGCCUUGCGCUAUCAGAUGAGCCUAGGUCGGAUUAGCUAGUUGGUGAGGUAAUGGCUCACCAAGGCGACGAUCCGUAACUGGUCUGAGAGGAUGAUCAGUCACACUGGAACUGAGACACGGUCCAGACUCCUACGGGAGGCAGCAGUGGGGAAUAUUGGACAAUGGGCGAAAGCCUGAUCCAGCCAUGCCGCGUGUGUGAAGAAGGUCUUCGGAUUGUAAAGCACUUUAAGUUGGGAGGAAGGGCAUUAACCUAAUACGUUAGUGUUUUGACGUUACCGACAGAAUAAGCACCGGCUAACUCUGUGCCAGCAGCCGCGGUAAUACAGAGGGUGCAAGCGUUAAUCGGAAUUACUGGGCGUAAAGCGCGCGUAGGUGGUUUGUUAAGUUGGAUGUGAAAUCCCCGGGCUCAACCUGGGAACUGCAUUCAAAACUGACUGACUAGAGUAUGGUAGAGGGUGGUGGAAUUUCCUGUGUAGCGGUGAAAUGCGUAGAUAUAGGAAGGAACACCAGUGGCGAAGGCGACCACCUGGACUAAUACUGACACUGAGGUGCGAAAGCGUGGGGAGCAAACAGGAUUAGAUACCCUGGUAGUCCACGCCGUAAACGAUGUCAACUAGCCGUUGGAAGCCUUG
rnacentral:rRNA from 1 species